UGCCAGCCGCCGCGGUAAUACGGAGGGUGCAAGCGUUGUUCGGAAUUAUUGGGCUUAAAGCGCGCGUAGGCGGAAUAUCAGGUGUCGUGUGAAAUCCCCGGGCUCAACCCGGGAAUUGCGCGGCAAACCGGUAUUCUUGAGGCAGGUAGAGGUGACUGGAACGACUGGUGGAGCGGUGAAAUGCGUAGAUAUCAGUUGGAACGCCGGAGGCGAAAGCGAGUCACUGGGCCUGUCCUGACGCUGAGGCGCGAAAGCGUGGGGAGCGAACAGGAUUAGAUA
rnacentral:rRNA from 1 species